CUGUCACCCUGUAUAGGUGGAGGUGGCCAAUGAUGUGCACUGAAGGAGCUCUAGUUGGCGCGCGCGCGCGGCUCGGCGUCGGUGGGAUUGGUCGAAGAAUUGAGGCAAACCCAGGAAUUACAUUGAGACAUGCCCUUGAAUGUUUGGAGAUCCAGUGCAGCAGUGGAUAUUUAGCUCAUGGGGGGACACAUG
rnacentral:lncRNA from 1 species